rnacentral:rRNA from 1 species
UCCUAAAUUAACUAUAAAACCCACCACCAAUACCAAAUAAUUUUAUAUAAAUAUAAAAAUCAUAAUGUUAGAAUAAGUAAUAAGAAAAAGACUUUCUCCAAAAUAUAAGUGUAAUGCAAAACAAACUAAAACUGCCAAUUACUGUUUAUAAAACUAAAGUAGCAACUUAGCUAGAAAAUUUUACUCUCCUCAACAUUAACCUAACACAAGAAUAUUACUGGAAAGAUUUAAAGAAUAGGAAGGAACUCGGCAAAUAUAAACCCCGCCUGUUUACCAAAAACAUCGCCUCUUGCUAAGAUAUAAGAGGUCCCGCCUGCCCCGUGAACUAAUUCAACGGCCGCGGUAUCUUGACCGUGCAAAGGUAGCAUAAUCAAUUGUUCUUUAAAUAAGGACUAGUAUGAACGGCAUCACGAGGGUUUAACUGUCUCCCUAUUUUAAUCAAUGAAAUUGAUCCCCCCGUGAAGAAGCGGGGAUAUAACUAUAAGACGAAAAGACCCCAUGGAGCUUUAAACUUAUUUUCAAUUACCAAAACCAAAACAUACACCCGGUAAAAAUGAUAAUCGUUUUCGGUUGGGGCGACCCUGGAGAAAAACAAAUCCUCCAAGCUGAAUAAAUUAAAAUUUAAUGUUAGAGCAACAACUCAAACAAUCAAAACCUUGACAAAAUGACCCAGAAUCCAUCUGAUCAACGAACCAAGUUACCCUGGGGAUAACAGCGCAAUCCAUUUCAAGAGCCCUUAUCGACAAAUGGGUUUACGACCUCGAUGUUGGAUCGGGGUAUCCUAGCAGCGCAGCCGUUGCUUAAGGUUC